rnacentral:rRNA from 1 species
GUCUUUUUGAGUUAUUUUUAAAGUCUGACCUGCCCACUGAGUUUUAAAUGGCCGCAGUAUUUCAAAGGUAGCAUAAUCAUUAGUCUUUUAAUUGAAGGCUGGUAUGAACGGUUGGACGAGGUAUAAGCUGUUUCAUAUAAAAUUAUAAUAGAAUUUUAUAUUUUAGUUAAAAAGCUAAAAUAUAAUUAAAAGACGAGAAGACCCUAUAAAUCUUUAUACUUUAGAUAAUUUAAAUUUUUUGGGUUUAUUUUAUUUUUAUUAUAUUGAGUAUUUUGUUGGGGUGAUAUUAAAAUUUAAUGAACUUUUAAUUGUGUUUAAAUCAUUAAUUUAUGAAUUGUUGAUCCAUUAAUAGUGAUUAUAAGAUUAAGUUACUUUAGGGAUAACAGCGUAAUUUUUUUGGAGAGUUCAUAUCGAUAAAAAAGUUUGCGACCUCGAUGUUGGAUUAAGAUAUAAUUUUAGGUGUAGUCGCUUAAAUGUUAAGUCUGUUCGACUUUUAAAUUCUU